UUAACAUCUUUGGGUUAAAAAAAUAAUGGAAAGAAAAGACGUUUAGAAGUAAAAUGUGUCAGAUAUUUUACAAGCGUCCAUUUAAUAUAUGUACAAAAGCCAGUAUAUUUGGAUUAGGCGAGUAGGUUUAGUUUCCUGAUUUCUACAGGUGUCUGCCUAUGUGCAAAGGAGUAUGUUAUUAUGGUGUAAUGUGCAAAUUUUAGCAUGUGCAUUGUCCUGGUUCUUGGACACUAUGCUAUCCCUAUCAGGAAUAGAACUUGCACAUGUAACAUGUCAUUUUUUUUUUUUUUUAUCACAAAGGAUGUAUUUCCCUGAGUAGCACUUUUGGAGCAGGGGAAGGAAGAAAACUAUUAGCUAUUCCCUAAUCCCCCUCCUAUUUGAUAUGCAUAUGCCUGAGAUGUAUAAAGACAUUUAAGUAGUUAAUGGGCAUGUUAAUAAGAACGUUCUGAUGCAAAUUCAUUUUCAAAAUGAAAAUAUUUUUCCUUCCCCAAAGUGAGAAUAGCAGAAAUGUUGGUGAACUGAGCACCAUAGUUAUAUAUAAUAUUGCCCUGCUAAGGUCUAGUUGGAAGAAAAAAACUUGAAAACAAACCUAUGAGGUUGAGCCUGGUUGCUAUAAAGACUUUGUGGUGGUGUGUGUUUCUGGGAUGAGCUCUAGAUGGUUUCGUUGACUUCUAGACCUUGGAUAUUCUUACUGGUUCAAAAUAAACAUACAAAAACAAGCUGGUGCACCUGGUGCUUCAUAACGCAGUCAAGAGUAAGAGUCUGUGAUGCUGCAGCCCCAUUUCUUUUACAAACUCGCACAAUUUCAAAAGAGGAAGUUACUGUGGCCUUGGCUUCCCAGUUGCUCGUUGGCCUGGUGAAGUCCUGGGUUACAAAGCUGAAUCCCCACGCAGGGUGGCAUCGUCUCUCUGGUGUGGGGGCUGAGCACCACACUAGCGCCUGGUGGCAGCAAGCCCGCCCAACACGCAGAGCCCAGAGUCACUGUCUGUCUGUGUUUCUAGAGAACAAUGUGAAGAGUCCUAGAAAAGGAACUCAUCAGACUGUCAGGGGCCUAAGUAGCCAAAAUGUCACUGAAUAUAAAAAUUGUGUCGUCUUCAGUCCUCAUGCUUUGUCACUGUAAAGCAAACAAAAAGCGUUUUUACUAUAAUUUAAAGGAGCUGCUUUUUUAUAGCACAUACUAUU
rnacentral:lncRNA from 1 species